CAGUAGCCGCGGGAAUACGGAGGGGGCUAGCGUUGUUCGGAAUUACUGGGCGUAAAGCGCACGUAGGCGGCUUGGUAAGUUAGAGAUGAAAGCCCGGAGCUCAACUCCGGAAUUGCCUUUAAGACUGCCGAGCUAGUAGGUGAGAGAGGUAAGUGGAAUUCCGAGUGUAGAGGUGAAAUUCGUAGAUAUUGGAAAGAACACCGGUGGCGAAGGCGGCGACCUGGUCUUUAACUGACGCUGAGGCGCGAAAGCAUGGGGAGCAAACAGGAUUAGAUACCCCCGUAGUCCCUGUCUCUUAUAC
rnacentral:rRNA from 1 species